rnacentral:rRNA from 1 species
AACGAACGCUGGCGGCAGGCUUAACACAUGCAAGUCGAGCGCCCCGCAAGGGGAGCGGCAGACGGGUGAGUAACGCGUGGGAAUCUACCCAUCUCUACGGAACAACUCCGGGAAACUGGAGCUAAUACCGUAUACGUCCUUCGGGAGAAAGAUUUAUCGGAGAUGGAUGGGCCCGCGUUGGAUUAGCUAGUUGGUGGGGUAAUGGCCUACCAAGGCGACGAUCCAUAGCUGGUCUGAGAGGAUGAUCAGCCACACUGGGACUGAGACACGGCCCAGACUCCUACGGGAGGCAGCAGUGGGGAAUAUUGGACAAUGGGCGAAAGCCUGAUCCAGCCAUGCCGCGUGAGUGAUGAAGGCCCUAGGGUUGUAAAGCUCUUUCGCAGGUGAAGAUAAUGACGGUAACCUGAGAAGAAGCCCCGGCUAACUUCGUGCCAGCCGCCGCCGUAACAC